rnacentral:lncRNA from 1 species
AGGAAAGAGAAGGGGACCUGUGGAUGGACACUCAAGAGGCGGCUCCAGAAAAAGCACUAGAGAAGCAGGACCUCAGGAAGAAGCUCCAUAAGCUGCCAUGAGCACACAUGGAGGCUCCUGGAGAGGACGGUGAAGCCACCCCCGGGCAGAAUGGUGUCCAGGGGUCGAUGUCUUCUGCUUCUUUCUGCCUACCAAAUCACUCCUGGGUUCCCCUUAAACCAAGCUCUGACCAGUAGGCUCAGAGGCAAAUAGAUCAGGGAAAUGUACCGCCCAGCCUUAGAAGAAGAUGGUGGCACUGAUGUGUCAAGAGGAAAUAUAGCACCUAUAUAUAUGUACCAAGGGAAGAGGGGGGGAAGUGUUCAAAAUUACAUUUCGUUCAUUCAUCCAUUCAAAAAAUACUUAACAAUCACCUGCUUUAUAGCAGUCACUGUCUUGCACCGGGAUAUAACACGGUACAAACUAGGUGCGAUCUUUGCGAUUAUUAGGUUUAUUGGUAGCAGUUGUUGCUGUUACAUCUCACUGCUCUCAUUGCAAAUGUUGAUGGUGGCUUUUACGUCUGUGAAAAUAAAAAGCAUGACCUUUUGAUAGUUGUUUGCUGUAUGGAAGCCUAUUUUACUAUGUUUGCAUGCAAACUUCUAUCUGACCUUAAGCUAAUGGGAGCUUGUAAAGAGGUGGAAUCGAAUGUAAAGUUUGAAAAGACAAGAAAAGAGAAAAGGAAAGGGAAGGGAUGGGGAGGGGAGAGAAAGAGAGGGG